UACGUAGGGUGCAGGCGUUAAUCGGAAUUACUGGGCGUAAAGCGUGCGCAGGCGGUUCGCCAAGUCAGGUGUGAAAUCCCCGGGCUUAACCUGGGAAUUGCGCUUGAAACUAGCGGGCUUGAGUGUGGCAGAGGGGGGUGGGAAUUCCACGUGUAGCAGCGAAAUGCGUAGAGAUGUGGAGGAACACCGAUGGCGAAGGCAGCCCCCUGGGUCAACACUGACGCUCAUGCACGAAAGCGUGGGGAGCAAACAGG
rnacentral:rRNA from 1 species